rnacentral:rRNA from 1 species
UACGGAGGAUGCAAGCGUUAUCCGGAAUGAUUGGGCGUAAAGCGUCCGCAGGUGGCUGUGUAAGUCUGCUGUCAAAGAGCAAAGCUCAACUUUGUAAAGGCAGUGGAAACUACACGGCUAGAGUGCGUUCGGGGCAGAGGGAAUUCCUGGUGUAGCGGUGAAAUGCGUAGAGAUCAGGAAGAACACCAGUGGCGAAGGCGACUUCCUGGCCUGUUCUUGACGCUGAGGCGCGAAAGCUAGGGGAGCAAACGGG